UGAUUUCCCCAGCCUUAAGUUCCCAGGUUCAUUGACCAGCCUUAAUCACAGAUCUUUCACCAUGAAGUUGUGGCUGAACUGGAUUUUCCUUCUAACACUUUUAAAUGGUAUCCAGUGUGAGGUGAAGCUGGUGGAAUCUGGAGGAGGCUUGGUACAGCCUGGGGGUUCUCUGGGACUCUCCUGUGCAGCUUCUGGAUUCACCUUCACUGAUUUCUACAUGAGCUGGGUCCGUCAGCCUCCAGGGAAGGCACCUGAGUGGUUGGGUUUAAUUAGAAACAAAGCUAAUGGUUACACAACAGAGUACAGUGCAUCUGUGAAGGGUCGGUUCACCAUCUCCAGAGAUAAUACCCAAAACAUCCUCUAUCUUCAAAUGAACAACCUGAGAGCUGAGGACACUGCCACUUAUUACUGUGCAAGAGAUAUACACAUUGAGGGGAUUUCAGUGUGA